GGGUGUUAGCUCAGUUGGUAGAGCAGCGGACUUUUAAUCCGUUGGUCGCGAGUUCGAAUCUCGCACA
rnacentral:tRNA from 1 species